AAGGGGACACGGAGAAGCGGGAUGAGGGAAGAUAUCAGAGGACCAGCAAGGGGCAGAAAGGCAGAAGGGGAAGAAGGAGAUGGAGUCCCUCAGUCCUCCCGAAUUUGGAGGUCCCACGAGCAGCAGAGCAAGGGGACCAAAAUGCACGGACGAUUCACGUUAAAAAUAAUUUUUAUAUAAUCACUGAAGAGUUGAAGUGAGUUGCAGUUGCCCAGUUGACGCAACUGUCUGUUUGGAGAUAUUUGAUUAAUGAAAUUAAUUAUAUGUCUCCAAACAGAAAGUUUGCACUGCUCUAUUCCUACUUUGCAGCUCCCUGCGGCAUAGACAGGCUAGAUGUUCACGGGACGGUCUCCUCCUCUUCCUGCCACACAGGAAGACUACACUUCCCAGGCUGCUUUGCAGUUAGGUUGCAACCAUGUGACCGAGUUCCGGCCAAUGGAAAGUGAGCAAAGGCGUGCGGGCCAGCUCCAGCCUUGGCCUUAAAAGACCCUAUGGGGUUGUCUAUUUUCUCUCUUUUCUGAAGCCACAGCAUGGGUGCAGCCCGGAUCCCUGAGUCACCCCUUGGAAGAACUGUUCACCUCUCAAUGGAAUUUGGGUUGCAACCACUUUCGCCAGCCCUCAGACGUCAGCUAUCCAUCGAUACUAUAGCUUUGGGGUGGGGGAACCACCAGAUGGAGGAGGCGUGACAACCCGGGGGGAGACAGAGCAAAGAGGUGUAGGAGGGUAGACAAGGGAGGGACAGACAGACAAUAAAUCCAGGACUCACGGCAAAUUUUGCGAUCGCAGGCUGCAAGAGAAAAGAGCUGAGCAGGGGCCCAUCUGGAGGAGAGAAGGAGAUCCCGGUGGGGUGGGAGGCCCCCCACAAGCCCAGCCCGUCUGCAGCUUCAAAGAGAAGGAAUGAGGAAGCUCUUUAUCAUGCGCCAGGAGUGACCAAGACGAGGUAUUAGUCAGGGUCCAAGAGGCAAAUCUAUGACCUGGGAGGUGCUGCCUCCACUGUGCGGCCCCAGGCUAAACCACCCUCUCCUGGCCUCAGUUUCCUCGUCUGGGGCUGGCCCUGUGGCCGAGUGGUUAAGUUCGCGCGCUCCGCUGCAGGCGG